rnacentral:rRNA from 1 species
GACUGUACAAAGGUAGCAUAAUCAUUUGUCUCUUGAUUGGAGGCUGGUAUGAAUGGUUGGACGAAAUAUAUACUUUCUUUAUUUAUAUAUAAAAAAUUUAAUUUUUUAGUCAAAAAGCUAGGAUGUUUUUAUAGGACGAGAAGACCCUAUAGAACUUUAUUAUCAUUUAUUUAUAGAUUUUUUGGCUUAUUAAAGGUUUAUAUAUAAAUGUUAAUUGUGUUGGGGUGAUGGAAAAAAAUAUAUAACUUUUUCUAUUUUUUACAUUUAUAUAUGUUUUUUUGAUCCUUAACUUUGGAUAAUAAGAUUAAGUUACCUUAGGGAUAACAGCGUUAUUUUUUUGGAGAGUUCAUAUCGAUAAAAAAGUUUGCGACCUCGAUGUUGGAUUAAAAUAAGUGACAGGGGUAGAAUAUUGUUUUUCUAGGUCUGUUCGACCUUUAAAUUUUUACA